GGGUAAGGGCCUACUUAGACGAAGACGGGUACGGGGAAUGAGGGUUUGAUUCCGGAGAGGGAGCCUGAGAGAUGGCUACCAGGACCAAGGUCAGCAGCAGGCGCGAAAAUUAUCGAAGCCCGCCUAGGGGCGAUAGUGAGGAGACGUGUAUAACGAAGUACGUGUAAAGAACGUGCUAAUAACUGGAGGUCAAGUCUGGUGCCAGCAGCCGCG
rnacentral:rRNA from 1 species